AUACGGAGGGUGCAAGCGUUACUCGGAAUCACUGGGCGUAAAGAGAAUGUAGGCGGGUUAAUAAGUUGGAAGUGAAAUCCUAUGGCUCAACCAUAGAACUGCUUUCAAAACUGUUGACCUAGAAUAUGGGAGAGGUAGAUGGAAUUUCUGGUGUAGGGGUAAAAUCCAUAGAGAUCAGAAGGAAUACCGAUUGCGAAGGCGAUCUACUGGAACAUUAUUGACGCUGAGAUUCGAAAGCGUGGGGAGCAAACAGGAUUAGAAACCCUAGUAGUCC
rnacentral:rRNA from 1 species